GUCCACGCCCUAAACGAUGUCAACUAGUUGUUGGGAGAAUUUAAUCUCCCAGUAACACAGCUAACGCGUGAAGUUGACCGCCUGGGGAGUACGGCCGCAAGGUUAAAACUCAAAGGAAUUGACGGGGGCCCGCACAAGCGGUGGAUUAUGUGGUUUAAUUCGAUGCAACGCGAAAAACCUUACCUACCCUUGACAUGUGAGGAACCCUGCGGAGACGUGGGGGUGCCCGAAAGGGAACCUCAACACAGGUGCUGCAUGGCUGUCGU
rnacentral:rRNA from 1 species